GACAGAGGUGCCAAGCGUUUAGGCGGAAUCACUGGGCUUAAAGCGUGUGUAGGCGGACUUGUAAGUACCUUGUGAAAUCCCACGGCUCAACCGUGGAACUGCUUGGUAUACUGCUUGUCUUGAGCCACUUAGGGGCUACCGGAACAAAUGGUGGAGCGGUGAAAUGCGUAGAUAUCAGGAGGAACACCGGUGGCGAAGGCGCUCAUCUGGCCCAAUACUGACGCUGCAGCGCGAAAGCUAGGGGAGCAAACGGG
rnacentral:rRNA from 1 species